rnacentral:tRNA from 1 species
AGCCCCGGCAGAAAUUACUCUGCUUCUUUGGACUUGCAAUCCAACGUGUGACACCCCAGAGCCU